rnacentral:rRNA from 1 species
AUUGAACGCUGGCGGCAUGCCUUACACAUGCAAGUCGAACGGCAGCGCGGGAGCAAUCCUGGCGGCGAGUGGCGAACGGGUGAGUAAUACAUCGGAACGUGCCCAAUCGUGGGGGAUAACGCAGCGAAAGCUGUGCUAAUACCGCAUACGAUCUACGGAUGAAAGCAGGGGAUCGCAAGACCUUGCGCGAAUGUAUCUGCCGAUGGCCUAUUAGGUAGUUGGUGAGGUAAAGGCUCACCAAGCCUUCGAUCUGUAGCUGGUCUGAGAGGACGACCAGCCACACUGGGACUGAGACACGGCCCAGACUCCUACGGGAGGCUGCAGUGGGGAAUUUUGGACAAUGGGCGAAAGCCUGAUCCAGCAAUGCCGCGUGCAGGAUGAAGGCCUUCGGGUUGUAAACUGCUUUUGUACGGAACGAAAAGGUCUUUUCUAAUAAAGAAGGAUAAUGACGGUACCGUAAGAAUAAGCACCGGCUAACUACGUG